rnacentral:rRNA from 1 species
GAGCUUCCCAUGGCGCCUGUUUAUCAAAAACAUGGUUUUUUGUAAUGAUAAAAAAUCUAGCCUGCUCCAUGCGUAUGUAAAUAGCCGCAGUAUUUUGACUGUGCUAAGGUAGCAUAAUCAUUUGUCUUUUAAAUGGGGUCUGGAAUGAAAGGUUGGUCGAAGGAAAUUCUUUCUUUUUAUUUAGAAAUGAAUUUAAUUAACUAGUAAAAAGGCUAGUAUAAACUUGAGGGACGAUAAGACCCUAUUGAGCUUAAUUUUAUAAUUUUACUGGGGUGGUAUAGUAAGAGAAAAAUCUUAUUUAAAAUAAAUAAAACUUAUUGACCCAAUAUUAUUGAGGAGAAGAUCAAGCUACCAUAGGGAUAACAGCCUAAUUUUUCUUUGAAGCUCUUAUUUAAAGAAAAGAUUGGGACCUCGAUGUUGAAUUAAAGAUUCUUUUUAGUGAAGGUGCUAAUUUAGAAAGUCUGUUCGACUUUUAAUUUUUUACGUGAUCUGAGUUCAGACCGGCCAUGGGAGC